rnacentral:tRNA from 1 species
UGGCUCAGUGGUAGAGCGCUUGUCUGGCAUGCAUGAGGCCCUGGGUUCGAUUCCUCAG